GCUGCCCACUUAGCGUAGCGUCACUGAUUGGAUAAAAUGUCAAUCAAAUCAUUGAAAAGCAUCAGUGUCAGCAAAGGCCAGUUUGGGAAAAGAAGAGUAAGAAUAACAAUUCACAACGGAAUACAUCGCGCAUAAUAGCAUGGUAUUGAUUUUUUGUAGAAUAACAGUGUUUAAAACAAUAUGAAAAGCCAUGGUGUUUGAGUGAGUCAUUGCGCUCACUGUCCUUCAGAUUUAUCCGUAUGAAGCGCUGAUCGUGACCACUAGGGGGCGCAACAGGCUGCCGAAGGACGCCGACAGGGCCAGGCUGGAGCGCCACCUGUCUCCGGAGCAGUUCCGCCAGGUGUUCGGGAUGUCGAUGGCGGAUUUCGACCGCCUUGCGCUGUGGAAGAGGAACGAGUUGAAGAAGCAGGCGCGGCUGUUUUAACGGCGGCUACCGCCCGGUGACACCGGGACGAUACGAACCGGCCGUCCGGUCUCAGAGAACCAGAACCGCCCGGUCACACCGGGAGGACACGAGCCGGCCGUCCGGUCUCAGAGAACCAGAACCGCUCCGGAUUCACGGAGAAGAAGUCCGACCUCACGCGACCACGCGCGAGCUUUGCCUAGAGAGUUGGAACACUGACUUAUCGAGACUGACUUUCGCAAGUGCGUUAAGCUCUGUAUGUCGAAUUGAUACACGAUUGACACGAUGCCGGCUCCCAGCCACGCUUCUCUGCUUCGACAGUCUCACCGGGCCGUCAGAUCGGGCUUUGCCUUACGUUCGAGUUUGAGUUCGAGUUCUAGCCGCGCACCAGCACGCUGGAUGACGAGAAUGUUGGUUUCAUGUCUGCCAAGACAUGCUGGGGGAUGAAGACGUCUUAAUUCAGAAAGAAAUUGCUGAAAAAUGUGUGGAAAAACUAGCACACUUCUCAGAAUGUUUUCACUCAUCGUUUUUAUUUAUUAAUAAUCAUAUAAGCGUGUUUUACAGUGAUUAGGCUACUUAUCCAUUGAUAAGAGAACACAUAUAUAUUACAGUUAAAGAAAGCUAACAAGGGUCCUUUCUGAAUUGGUGUGUUAAGAUCUAAAAGGCAGGAUGGUUGGAACACACACCUGUUUAGUGAGGACCCAAACCAAAGGUACUACCGUUUUAAAGCAGCUGAUGGCUAACCUGGAUGUAGUGUGAAACUUAUUUUGCCCUCACCUUCAAUAAUCACAGAAUUCUUUCUCUUUUUCAAAGACUAGCGAUUGCUACAGAAUGUAUGUUCAGUUGAGAGACGUCAGGAAAUGAUUCAGGUGUAGUCACAAUAGAGCUGACUGCCGAGGGGUUACACGUGUAUUUUUAUUUUUUCUACUGCGUUUAUCAAACUUUAUUGAAUUGCAUAUUGAAAAGGAAAACCCACACAAUGUACUGUUUAAAUUAUGAAAUGAUAGUUGUGUGUCCACUUCAUGGGAUUAAGGGUGUGAUGAAUUGGGGGAUUUUGUGACGAGAGUACUGGUUCAUAGGCUAGAGCAGCGGACCCCAGCCUCGGUCCUGAGGAGCCGCUGUGUUUGCACUGGGCAUGCGCUGCUGCCUCCGACAUGGCAUGUCUUAAGAAGGUAAAUAAUCCCUCCAAACACAAAAAAACAUGUAAUAAAAAAAAAUGUAAAAUGUGGAAGUCUGGGAUUGCAAUUGUGGCUGGACCAAGAGGCAGCCAUCCGAAAGUGGUGCCCCAGGACCAAGGUUGGGAACCGAACCACAGCCCUGCACGGUUCAGAUUCCCCAACAGUGCGAUCAACACCUGUCAGAAACAUCAGCGUGAAUACCGCUUACAUAACUACCACUCAAUACUGCAUAUCUAAUGGAUUAUAGUUGUUUUCUUUUCUCUUUUUUUUUUUUUUUGCUGUGCGAUUUACUCUGUUUGUUUUAGCCAGAUAGAAGAUACUGUGGUUAGUGUCAAUGGGAUUCCAACAGAUCGUUUUGGCUCAUUAAUUUAAAUUGGGUUUUUUAGUUGACCAUGUUUUCUGAUGGAAUGCGGUGAAGCUGAGAAAACCGAAAUAUGAGUAAUAAAGUCAGAAAAGGAAGCUGAAAGCGCUGAGUGCCUGAUGAUACGGUUUUAAUGACAGCCUGCUCAUAAAUCAGAACUCGAAUCUCCGGUGAUUCUCAUUAGAGUUUACAUUUAAGAGGUACUCCGGACAGCCCUGCCUGUUGAUCAUUUAUACGCAACGGUAUAGUUUACACGAAUACGCACCCGUUCGUUCAAUCAUCCUUUGCCACAUAUCAAGGAACACAGGCCAGUCAAUUUCCGGCAGGGUAUGAAGUGUGUAGUCCGUGACCUACAGGAUUGUCACAGAACUUACAGGCGACCUGCCGCGAGUUGUACACCUCUUUACUAAAUAAUUUACUUAUUGAACACUUUUAAAUAACGGGGGGUUAAAAAAUAGCAGUAUUUUUUAAUUGUACUUUUUUCCUUUGUAACUGUACACAGCCUAGCUAUACUUUCUUUAUCGGACAGUAGCUACUGUACCUAUAAAUUAUGUAUAUCUUAUAUUUAAAUAAAAUUGUUUUCUUGUG